rnacentral:rRNA from 1 species
CGAUGGACAAAGGGCAGCUACACAGCGAUGUGAUGCUAAUCUCCAAACCAUGUCUCAGUUCGGAUCGGAGUCUGCAACUCGACUCCGUGAAGCUGGAUUCGCUAGUAAUCGCGCAUCAGCCAUGGCGCGGUGAAUACGUUCCCGGGCCUUGUACACACCGCCCGUCAAGCCAUGGGAGCCGGGGGCGCCUGAAGUCCGGGACCGCGAGGACCGGCCUAGGGCGAAACUGGUAACUGGGGCUAAGUCGUAACAAGGUAAC